ACCUACGGGGGGCAGCAGUGAGGAAUAUUGGUCAAUGGGCUUACGCCUGAACCAGCCAAGUCGCGUGAGGGAAGACUGCCCUAUGGGUUGUAAACCUCUUUUGUCAGGGAGCAACGCCGGCUACGUGUAGCCGGACUGAGAGUACCUGAAGAAAAAGCAUCGGCUAACUCCGUGCCAGCAGCCGCGGUAAUACGGAGGAUGCGAGCGUUAUCCGGAUUUAUUGGGUUUAAAGGGUGCGUAGGCGGAAUGCCAAGUCAGCGGUAAAAUCGCGGGGCUCAACCUCACUCCGCCGUUGAAACUGGCGG
rnacentral:rRNA from 1 species